rnacentral:lncRNA from 1 species
GAAUUGAUUCAUACGUUGGAUGAAGUUCUUCGCACUCACAAUUCCUGAUAAUUCUACUCGUCAGGCUCCGAGCAAUCUAUCGCAAAUGAAAGAAUCCAAAUAAAUAACCAUGCCAUGAAGAAGAACCAAAAGAAUAACAAAACAAAUAUGGCAAGGUUGAACAACAUCAAUAUAUAUAGGCUUGUAAUAUAUAAUAUAGGUCUCUAUGUGCUAUAGGGUGAAAGGUGGAAGGAUCAACUCACAAGAUUUACUGCAGAGAGAGAUAUUGCCAUAAAAUCUUAUGUUUGAGAUGAUAUAGAAUAAGGUCAAAAGUAUUUGGAGAGCAACAUGCAAGUUGUGUGUCAUACUGCAUAUGGCAUAAGGACACAUUUGGCGAAAGAAUUAAUUAAAAAGAAAUACUACAACAUACGUUAUAGCGAGAUGAAGUAUGAACUGAAUUUGAAUUUGAAACAGGUCAAAAAGUGUUUGAAUAUUGAGUAUACAGGAUGUGAUCGGCAAGUAUUGGUACUAGUGUUUCACGGGCAAAAGGAAUCAAUUGAAAAUGUGCUACGGUCUGCAAGAUAUCACCAUAUGAAAGUUUGAAUUCAAAUUUGACUCGCUCAAAUUUGAAAAGUUUGAACAAUUGAAAUAUUUACUCUACGGGAUAGUAGAGGUCAUGGUGAUCAUGUAGGAAAAAGAAUCACUCGAUUUGAAUAUACGGAUCACCAGAUGUAGCGAAACGAAAUUGGGUUGAAAAUCUGUCAAAAACGAAAUUGGGUUGAAAAUCUGUCACCGAAAAAAAAAACUGCCGGAAACAAUGGGGACCGUCGUGGAGCAGCUCUGAUCGGCGAUGGUGUCGCUCCUUGUGGCCAUAGGCGCCGGGGAAAUAACUGGAGAGGUGGGGUGCGACACAGCGAGGUCGGAGGUGCAGUCGAAGGUGAUCUAGGCGUCCUCGCGCGGCGGCUAUGCUCCGGCGAGAUCGGGUCUUCAGGGGGAGCUCGACUCGGUUCGCAUCUGGGAGAAAACAGGAGGUCAGAGGAGUCCGCGACAGCAAUGUGGAGAAGGUGGCAUGCUCAGUGAGGAGAAGGGCUUACGGGGCGGCCGGAGUUUGUCGCCGGAGUAGCUUCAGGCGGCUGCGAUUAGCGGGGUCGUCGCGCUCGAUUCCGAGGGCAAACUCGAGCAGCGUUUCGGGGAAUCGGAUGAGGGAUUCGUAGAGAUCACGUUGCAGUUUGAGAUGGACCGAAUCGCGGAGGGGUCAGGGAGAUCGGGCGCGAUCCUUGCGGGGUUCGUGCGGCGGCGGUGUCGUGCUGAAGAGGAACUCGGACGGGAGGUAGAAGACAGGG